UUCCAGUGUUGAGUUCAGUUCAGGGCAGCUUCCCUGGUCUGUUAAUUAAACUUUGGGACAUUGAAAUGGGCUAUAGGUGAUGACUGGGUAAAAAAUAUUCCAAGUUCAUCUCUGAGCCCACAGAA
ensembl:snoRNA small nucleolar RNA, H/ACA box 36A